UACGAAGGGGGCUAGCGUUGCUCGGAAUCACUGGGCGUAAAGGGUGCGUAGGCGGGUCUUUAAGUCAGGGGUGAAAUCCUGGAGCUCAACUCCAGAACUGCCUUUGAUACUGAAGAUCUUGAGUUCGGGAGAGGUGAGUGGAACUGCGAGUGUAGUGGUGAAAUGCGUAGAUAUCCGGAGGAACACCAGUGGCGAAGGCGACUUUCUGGCCUGUUCUUGACGCUGAGGCGCGAAAGCUAGGGGAGCAAACGGG
rnacentral:rRNA from 1 species